UCCUAAGCGUAGUAAUUUCUCCUCGCUAUAGAGCCCGCUCGGGGAUAGGUAUAAUUCGUAGCCUAGUUCUAUGUGUCCCGCUAUAAAACCCCCAAUUUUUUAAGGUUGACCUCGGAUCAAGUAGGGAUACCCGCUGAACUUAAGCAUAUCAAUAAGCGGAGGAAAAGAAACCAACAGGGAUUACCUUAGUAACGGCGAGUGAAGCGGUAAAUGCUCAAAUUUGAAAGCUGCCAACAGGCCGCGUUGUAAUUUGUAGAAGAUGCUUUGGGUGUCGGCCCAGUCUAAGUUCCUUGGAACAGGACGUCAUAGAGGGUGAGAAUCCCGUAUGUGAUUGGUGCCGUCCCCCGUGUAAAGCUCUUUCGACGAGUCGAGUUGUUUGGGAAUGCAGCUCAAAAUGGGUGGUAAAUUUCAUCUAAAGCUAAAUAUUGGCCAGAGACCGAUAGCGCACAAGUAGAGUGAUCGAAAGAUGAAAAGCACUUUGGAAAGAGAGUUAAACAGUACGUGAAAUUGUUGAAAGGGAAGCGCUUGCAAUCAGACUUGCAGGCGGUCGAUCAUCCGAGGUUCUCCCCGGUGCACUCGAUCGUCUUCAGGCCAGCAUCGGUUUCCGUGGUGGGAUAAAGGCUGUGAGAACGUGGCUCUUCGGAGUGUUAUAGCUCACGGUGCAAUGCCGCCUACGGGG
rnacentral:sRNA from 1 species